rnacentral:rRNA from 1 species
AUGAUCACGCUCAAGAGCUCGGACGGCGAGGAGUUCGAGGUGGAGGAGGCGGUGGCCAUGGAGUCGCAGACGAUCCGCCACAUGAUCGAGGACGACUGCGCCGACAACGGCAUCCCGCUCCCCAACGUCAACUCCAAGAUCCUCUCCAAGGUCAUCGAGUACUGCAACAAGCACGUCCAGGCCAAGCCCGCCGACGGGGCCGCGGCCGCCGCCGGAGCCUCGGACGCCGCCGCCCCCGCCGCUCCCGCGGAGGACCUCAAGAACUGGGACGCCGAGUUCGUCAAGGUCGACCAGGCCACCCUCUUCGACCUCAUCCUGGCUGCCAACUACCUGAACAUCAAGGGGCUUUUGGACCUAACCUGUCAGACUGUUGCCGACAUGAUCAAGGGCAAGACCCCGGAGGAGAUCCGCAAGACCUUCAACAUCAAGAACGACUUUACGCCCGAGGAGGAGGAGGAGAUCCGCAGGGAGAACCAGUGGGCCUUUGAGUAG